AUUGAACGCUGGCGGCAUGCCUUACACAUGCAAGUCGAACGGUAACAGGUCUUCGGAUGCUGACGAGUGGCGAACGGGUGAGUAAUACAUCGGAACGUGCCCAGACGUGGGGGAUAACGAGGCGAAAGCUUUGCUAAUACCGCAUACGAUCUAAGGAUGAAGGCAGGGGACCGCAAGGCCUUGCGCGUUUGGAGCGGCCGAUGGCAGAUUAGGUAGUUGGUGGGAUAAAAGCUUACCAAGCCGACGAUCUGUAGCCGGUCUGAGAGGACGACCAGCCACACUGGGACUGAGACACGGCCCAGACUCCUACGGGAGGCAGCAGUGGGGAAUUUUGGACAAAGGGCGAAAGCCUGAUCCAGCAAUGCCGCGUGCAGGAUGAAGGCCUUCGGGUUGUAAACUGCUUUUGUACGGAACGAAAAGGCUCUGGCUAAUACCUGGGGCACAUGACGGUACCGUAAGAAUAAGCACCGGCUAACUACGUG
rnacentral:rRNA from 1 species